rnacentral:rRNA from 1 species
GGAGCGUUCUGUAAGCCUGCGAAGGUGUGCUGUGAGGCAUGCUGGAGGUAUCAGAAGUGCGAAUGCUGACAUAAGUAACGAUAAAGCGGGUGAAAAGCCCGCUCGCCGGAAGACCAAGGGUUCCUGUCCAACGUUAAUCGGGGCAGGGUGAGUCGACCCCUAAGGCGAGGCCGAAAGGCGUAGUCGAUGGGAAACAGGUUAAUAUUCCUGUACUUGGUGUUACUGCGAAGGGGGGACGGAGAAGGCUAUGUUGGCCGGGCGACGGUUGUCCCGGUUUAAGCGUGUAGGCUGGUUUUCCAGGCAAAUCCGGAAAAUCAAGGCUGAGGCGUGAUGACGAGGCACUACGGUGCUGAAGCAACAAAUGCCCUGCUUCCAGGAAAAGCCUCUAAGCAUCAGGUAACAUCAAAUCGUACCCCAAACCGACACAGGUGGUCAGGUAGAGAAUACCAAGGCGCUUGAGAGAACUCGGGUGAAGGAACUAGGCAAAAUGGUGCCGUAACUUCGGGAGAAGGCACGCUGAUAUGUAGGUGAAGUCCCUUGCGGAUGGAGCUGAAAUCAGUCGAAGAU